GUGAGCAGGAGGAGCAUCUGCGAUCACAACGCGAAAGCAAUAAAGAAGCUGUCAAUGAAGCCCUGAUGUCCAACUUCUGGACUAUGAGCAGCGAGAAAUAAGUAUUGUGAUCUUUAGUCAUGUUAACAGCACCAUCCAUCCCCAUUUGGUACUUGGAGCCUGGCAGUCGCUCUGUGAAUACUGUCCAUGAAGGAAAAAAGUCACCUGUGCUGGACAAACUGAGAAGAUGUUCUGAGGGGAGCCGGGUUAAUUUAAUGACUAUUGCCAUUUCAAGCUCCAGAAAUCUCUUCAUUUCAGCCUCCAAGGAAAAGCCAUGCCCUGAUAAAAAACCAA